UACGUAGGGUGCGAGCGUUAAUCGGAAUUACUGGGCGUAAAGCGUGCGCAGGCGGCUUUGCAAGACGGAUGUGAAAUCCCCGGGCUCAACCUGGGAACUGCAUUUGUGACUGCAAGGCUGGAGUGCGGCAGAGGGGGAUGGAAUUCCGCGUGUAGCAGUGAAAUGCGUAGAUAUGCGGAGGAACACCGAUGGCGAAGGCAAUCCCCUGGGCCUGCACUGACGCUCAUGCACGAAAGCGUGGGGAGCAAACAGG
rnacentral:rRNA from 1 species